AGACGUGAUGGGCGAUCUGGCUGCAACGUCAGUCACCCCAUUGACCACCAGCAUGACUCAGCUGACCCGGCUGACCAGGUAGGUGACCCCUUUGUCCCUCACAGCUCCAUGUGCAUCCCUCCAGAAGCUGCAUGCUCGCUCCGUCCAGUCUUUGGUCAAGAGUAUAUGAGUAGCUGGGCUCCCCUGCUAGACCCUCCACAACUGCUCACAAGGUCCCUUUGUUGUCAGGUUUCAAAUGAGAUAAUGUGAGUCUCCCACUACUGUUCUUUCUUAAGAUAAUUUUAAAUUAUUGUAUUA
rnacentral:snRNA from 1 species